CCCUCUCGGGUUACCGAAUUCAGACAAACUCCGAAUGCCAAUCAAUUUAACUUGGGAGUCAGAACAUGGGUGAUAAGGUCCGUGUUCGAAAGGGAAACAGCCCAGACCACCAGCUAAGGUCCCAAAAUAUAUGUUAAGUGGAAAAGGAUGUGGCGUUGCCCAGACAACUAGGAUGUUGGCUUAGAAGCAGCCAUCAUUUAAAGAGUGCGUAAUAGCUCACUAGUCGAGUGACACUGCGCCGAAAAUGUACCGGGGCUAAACAUAUUACCGAAGCUGUGGAUUGUCCUUCGGACAAUGGUAGGAGAGCGUUCUAAGGGCGUUGAAGCAUGAUCGCAAGGACAUGUGGAGCGCUUAGAAGUGAGAAUGCCGGUGUGAGUAGCGAAAGACGGGUGAGAAUCCCGUCCACCGAUUGACUAAGGUUUCCAGAGGAAGGCUCGUCCGCUCUGGGUUAGUCGGGUCCUAAGCUGAGGCCGACAGGCGUAGGCGAUGGAUAACAGGUUGAUAUUCCUGUACCACCUAGUAUCGUUUUAAUCGAUGGGGGG
rnacentral:rRNA from 1 species